ACUAACAGUGAGAAAAGCCUCAGCACAGAGUUGCACAGAGAGACUGCCUCUGCAUUCGUGACACUGACAGCACAGACACCGUAACUCCAGCCAUGACAGGAUCUGCACACAGGGACCCAGGCAGUGAAGGGCACUGCAGACCAUACCUCUGACAGUGACAGACCCCAAACAUCCAUAGAGACAGUAACAUCAGCACUGGCAGGCUCAGCAAACAGAGAAAUAGGGAGGAAUGGGCUCUGUCGACAUCAUAACACCAACAGACACAGCGACAAGUACUGCAAACAGUGACACAAACAGUACUAGCCUCUCCCAAUAAUACCAAGCUCUGCAAAUAAAACUAAACUCCACAGAAUGACAAACAGUGCCACGGUCUACAAAUGGUGACACAGGCAAUGACAAGCUUUGCAAACAGCUCCAAGCUCUGCAAAUAAUGACACACAGGGCCAAGCUCUGCAAACAGGUGUGAGGAGACAGAAGCACAUGGAAGAGGAUUCACCUGCCAGGGCCAUAGAAAUCCUGCGCUGCUGUCCAGCACUGGGAUUCGUGUCUGCCCAACUCUCAGCAAACAGGCAUGAGGGCUGGAAGAGGAGAAAACAAAACUGGCCAGGAGAAGGC
rnacentral:lncRNA from 1 species